rnacentral:rRNA from 1 species
UAUGGUAAUUGUGCCGCCGCGGUAAUACGUAGGUGGCGAGCGUUGUCCGGAUUUAUUGGGCGUAAAGGGAACGCAGGCGGUCUUUUAAGUCUGAUGUGAAAGCCUUCGGCUUAACCGAAGUAGUGCAUUGGAAACUGGAAGACUUGAGUGCAGAAGAGGAGAGUGGAACUCCAUGUGUAGCGGUGAAAUGCGUAGAUAUAUGGAAGAACACCAGUGGCGAAAGCGGCUCUCUGGUCUGUAACUGACGCUGAGGUUCGAAAGCGUGGGUAGCAAACAGG